GUAUGAGUAGUGUAAAUAAACACUUUAACUUUUCGUGUUAAAAAUAUGCAGUAGUAUCUCAUAUU
rnacentral:tRNA from 1 species